rnacentral:rRNA from 1 species
CAGUCGCCGCGGUAAUACGAAGGGGGCUAGCGUUGCUCGGAAUGACUGGGCGUAAAGGGCGCGUAGGCGGCGGCCAAAGUCAGACGUGAAAUUCCUGGGCUCAACCUGGGGGCUGCGUUUGAUACUUGGUUGCUUGAGUGGGGAAGAGGGUUGUGGAAUUCCCAGUGUAGAGGUGAAAUUCGUAGAUAUUGGGAAGAACACCGGUGGCGAAGGCGGCGACCUGGUCCUUGACUGACGCUGAGGCGCGAAAGCGUGGGGAGCAAACAGGAUUAGAUACCCGUGUAGUCCCUGUCUCUUAUAC